GCUAAGUGGCUAACGUUGCCCUUCACGGGCGACGUUAGCCAUUUAGCACUUUUCAGUCCAUAUGUAGCCUGUAUCGAUGGAGUUUCGAAAAGUGGCUGAAGAGGAGCAGUCGAGCAUGUGGGCCGAAUGACUGGAGGCGACCGCCACGGCAGCUGCUGCUGACGCGGCCCUAGUCGCCACAAUGCAAAAUGGCAUUACGACACUCUAAGCUUGGAAAGACAUCCAGGAGCUCACCCUAACAUGGCACCGCGGGCGAAUGCAGUAUACAAUGUCUCCAGUGCCGCCGCUACUCGUGCUGGCGGGCUGUGGCCCCGCGGUACCGCCGGAGCCAUGACCAGCCGAUCAACACUCGUUCUACAUUCGUACAAAGUAAAAACAGUGAUUGAUUGUGACUGGAACGAAACUGGACUGGACUGUAAUGUGAACACACACAUUGUAUUUCAUGUUAACACACUAAUACGUAUAUGUAAUAAUUUAUUCGACGGUAUUCGCACACACUACGCUAGGAUAAUGGACCAAGUAUUUUAGUGUAUAGUAUGUAUUUGUAAUGCGCUAUGUUUAAGAUUAAUCGUAAGCCUCACCUAGUUAGUAUUAUAAACGACAAACCUGAUCCUUAGUAUAUUUAGUAUUUAAAAAUAAAAAAUAAAUAUAAAAAUAUAAAAUAUUAAAAAUAAAAAAAAAAACAAAAAAUAUAAAAUAAAAAAAAAGAUAUAAAAAAUAAAAAUAAUUAAAAAAACAUAAUAAAUAAAAAUAAUUAAAAAAUAUAAAUAAUUAAAAAUAAUAAAAAAAAAAUCUUAAGGCUUCGCUAUGACUUUAAAUGAUGACAGCACACUUAUAAAUCUACGAACAUGGGACGAGUAUCUUGUAUUUUAUAAUUAAGUUAGUCUUAAUUUAUAAUUUUAGGAAAUAAAAUUAAUUAUAAGUAUAAAUCAUUUUUUUAUUUCUUCAACACAAUAAAUAAUUUUACGUACCGAACAGUAAAGAUUGAAUCAACGCAGAAUACAUGAAAUGGCGGCAGGUUACGGCAACUUCCCCGGAAAAUUUAC